rnacentral:snRNA from 1 species
AUACUUACCUGGCAGGGGAGAUACCAUGAUCACGAAGGUGGUUUUCCCAGGGCGAGGCUUAUCCAUUGCAGUCCGGAUGUGCUGACCCCUGCGAUUUCCCCAAAUGUGGGAAACUCGACUGCAUAAUUUGUGGUAGUGGGGGACUGCGUUCGCGCUCUCCCCUG